AUGCUUAGGAAUCUGCCUAUUAGUGGGGGACAACAUCUCGAAAGGGAUGCUAAUACCGCAUACGUCCUACGGGAGAAAGCAGGGGACCUUCGGGCCUUGCGCUAAUAGAUGAGCCUAAGUCGGAUUAGCUAGUUGGUGGGGUAAAGGCCUACCAAGGCGACGAUCUGUAGCGGGUCUGAGAGGAUGAUCCGCCACACUGGGACUGAGACACGGCCCAGACUCCUACGGGAGGCAGCAGUGGGGAAUAUUGGACAAUGGGGGGAACCCUGAUCCAGCCAUGCCGCGUGUGUGAAGAAGGCCUUUUGGUUGUAAAGCACUUUAAGCGAGGAGGAGGCUACCGAGAUUAAUACUCUUGGAUAGUGGACGUUACUCGCAGAAUAAGCACCGGCUAACUCUGUGC
rnacentral:rRNA from 1 species